rnacentral:lncRNA from 1 species
UUUAUAAUAGCAAUAAAACACCAAAAUAAAGAAUAUUGAAAACAAGAUAUGAAUCAUAUGAUUAAAAAAAAAGAACAAAAUGCAUAAAAAGUUCUUCUAAUGGGCAGUGUGUAAUAUUUCUGAAGUUUCGUUGCAUUUUUUUAGAUUAAAUUAAUAUACAAUUACAUGUAAAGAAGAAAUUUUAUUUCUGUUAGCUACAAAAAUUAUUGAUUUUUAAAAUUAAUGUUCAUUAUCAUUUGAGUUUAUAAAAAUAGUCUAAUAUAAAUCAAACUAAACACAAACGAUAAUUUCUUACAUUGAAAUUUUUAAGAAUGCGCAUUUCAUUUUUCAAUGUAUAUUCUUGAUAUCUUCUAUUAUAAUAGAAAUCUAAUAAUUAUUUAUUGGAUGAAUGUUUAUAUCUUUAAUUUGCAAGAUAUUUCAGAAAAUGACAAUGGCCAAAGAUAUAUGAUUUUGAAUGAAAAUUUAAUAAUUAUCAGUAUAUUUGGUAAAUGCCAAAUUAUAGCUAAUCACUUACUGCUCUUUGUGGUAAUUAUAUAAGUACUGUCCUCUGCUCAACAGUGCUUUGAUAGAGGACAGUAUUUAUGUAAAUGCCAAAUGUUUAUCAAGAGAAUAUACUUUACACAGUUGUGUAAAGCACUAAAUGCUUAGAACUCAUGCAGUUAAUAUAUCCUGAAUCUUAUGAUAAACCAGUAUAAGUUAAUAGUUUGUUUUUCUUAUCUAGCACUUGUUUUUUUUUAAAUCAGGGGUUCUCAACCUUUUUGUAGUGGCAGAACACUUUUGGUACUAAUAGAAAAAUAGCGGAACACCAUUUUUCUUAGUUGUCUAAAG